UACAGAGGUCUCAAGCGUUGUUCGGAUUCAUUGGGCGUAAAGGGUGUGUAGGUGGCGCCGUAAGUCGGGUGUGAAAUUUCGGAGCUUAACUCCGAAACUGCAUUCGAUACUGCCGUGCUUGAGGACUGGAGAGGAGACUGGAAUUUACGGUGUAGCAGUGAAAUGCGUAGAGAUCGUAAGGAAGACCAGUGGCGAAGGCGGGUCUCUGGACAGUUCCUGACACUGAGGCACGAAGGCCAGGGGAGCAAACGGG
rnacentral:rRNA from 1 species